CAGUAGCCGCGGUAAAACGUAGGGUGCAAGCGUUAAUCGGAAUUACUGGGCGUAAAGCGUGCGCAGGCGGUUAUAUAAGACAGAUGUGAAAUCCCCGGGCUCAACCUGGGAACUGCAUUUGUGACUGUAUAGCUAGAGUACGGCAGAGGGGGAUGGAAUUCCGCGUGUAGCAGUGAAAUGCGUAGAUAUGCGGAGGAACACCGAUGGCGAAGGCAAUCCCCUGGGCCUGUACUGACGCUCAUGCACGAAAGCGUGGGGAGCAAACAGGAUUAGAUACCCCUGUAGUCCCUGUCCUUAUACA
rnacentral:rRNA from 1 species